ACCGGCAGCUAGCUCUCUGCAACUCUCACAUGGUCGCCCACUGAAGCUAAGCAGGGCUGCGCCCGGUCAGUACCUGGAUGGGAGACCACAUGGGAAAGCUAGGUUGCUGCCGGAA
rfam:Danio rerio chromosome 5, GRCz11 reference primary assembly.